rnacentral:rRNA from 1 species
UAAGGAAUAUUGGUCAAUGGACGCAAGUCUGAACCAGCCAUGCCGCGUGGAGGAUGAAGGUCCUCUGGAUUGUAAACUUCUUUUAUCGGAGAAGAAACCCCAGUUUUCUUGCUGGGUUGACGGUACCCGAUGAAUAAGCACCGGCUAACUCCGUGCCAGCAGCCGCGGUAAUACGGAGGGUGCAAGCGUUAUCCGGAUUCACUGGGUUUAAAGGGUGCGUAGGUGGGUUGGUAAGUCAGUGGUGAAAUCUUCGAGCUUAACUCGGAAACUGCCGUUGAUACUAUCAAUCUUGAAUAUUGUGGAGGUAAGCGGAAUAUGUCAUGUAGCGGUGAAAUGCUUAGAUAUGACAUAGAACACCGAUAGCGAAGGCAGCUUGCUACACAAUUAUUGACACUGAUGCACGAAAGCGUGGGGAUCAAACAGGAUUAGAUACCCUGGUAGUCCACGCCCUAAACGAUGGAUACUCGACAUACGCGAUACACAGUGUGUGUCUGAGCGAAAGCAUUAAGUAUCCCACCUGGGAAGUACGACCGCAAGGUUG